UCAAGCACUGCUGAGCUCCUGUGCACAGCAACGGGAGCCCAGGGUUUGAACCCCACUGUGCCCUUCAGCCUCGGGCAGGAUCAAACCCUAACAUCCCAGUUUGUCUAAUCAAGAGGGCCUUGUGUAGGCCUCCCUCGAUAUGGCCAUGGAAACAAUGGGAGCUUUUUCCAGGAGCUGCCCCAUCAUGACAGAGCACCCCACUGCUUCAUCUGUUGUUGUUCCUCGCGAUGGACACCGCUGCUGUCAAUGUGCCACAUCAAGACAGAAACAUCAUCAGAUUCAGUGCACUGCUGACUAUCUGGAGAAAUAUUAGGAAUGAACUGGCAGCAUCAUUAAUUGAGUUCAAUCAUG